GUUAAUCAUCCAACCAUGACGCUUUCAUGGCCAGAUCACAGUUGAGCCAUGCCACCAUACCAGACACUGUGGCAUCACUCAUGCCUGACUGCAUUACAGUCAUUGUGUCUGUGUGUGUGUGUGUUUCUUUACACAUCACUGAAGAUUAAGACACUCGUUUAAUGCAAAGCUUUAAUAUGAGAUAGUCAUCAAAGGAGCUGGGCCUGAAUCUCAGAGCAUACUUAUAUGGCAUAUAUAACUGGAUGCCAUCUACAUCAGGUGCAAGGCUUUAUAUGGUUAAUCACUUUCAAUUACUUUUAAUAACAACGUAGCUAUAAAACAUGUGAACCCUGAUGAAUGUUUUUAUAUGUAUUUUAUUUCCAAGUCAAAGAAAAGAACAGAUAAUAAUGAUUCCCUAAUGCAUACCAUAACUGUAACUGUGUUGUACAAAAUUUUGUCCUGUGUGGUAGGACUGACACAAACCCAAACUCUAUCAUACAAGUGUAAACAAAUGACAUCAGAUGAAUAUUUCUUAGGCCUGACUGUUGCACACACUUUUAAAAAGUGUCCUGUAUAAAUAAAAUCCCAUUGUACAAGUAGGAAAGUGGUGCAAAAUGUAACAGUGUUUAAUCUACAGACAAGGCACAGAGUCAGCUUGGCCGAGAUAUGUUUCUUCUCCUUUAACUCUGAAAUGUCAGCAUGAACAGAGAGAAAAAUUUUCUCUCAUUUUCUAUAUCCUUAAAUGGUGCAUUGGGAGGCCCCUACAAACUUUCCGCUAGCGAUGGAAGCUGAAGAAAAAAGCAAUAAAGAACCUUAUGACAUUCAGCCCAGUUACUGCCCAUGGAAACAAAGAGAUGUUUUCUUUUGCUGUGAAAUAGUGUGCUGGAAAUGUG